rnacentral:rRNA from 1 species
GAGACAGCAGCCGCCGCGGGAAUACAGAGGGUGCGAGCGUUAAUCGGAUUUACUGGGCGUAAAGCGUGCGUAGGCGGCUUUUUAAGUCGGAUGUGAAAUCCCUGAGCUUAACUUAGGAAUUGCAUUCGAUACUGGGAAGCUAGAGUAUGGGAGAGGAUGGUAGAAUUCCAGGUGUAGCGGUGAAAUGCGUAGAGAUCUGGAGGAAUACCGAUGGCGAAGGCAGCCAUCUGGCCUAAUACUGACGCUGAGGUACGAAAGCAUGGGGAGCAAACAGGAUUAGAUACCCCAGUAGUCCCUGUCUCUUAUAC